UACGUAGGGUGCGAGCGUUGUCCGGAAUUAUUGGGCGUAAAGAGCUCGUAGGCGGUCUGUCGCGUCUGCUGUGAAAUCCCGAGGCUCAACCUCGGGCUUGCAGUGGGUACGGGCAGGCUAGAGUGCGGUAGGGGAGAAUGGAACUCCUGGUGUAGCGGUGGAAUGCGCAGAUAUCAGGAGGAACACCGGUGGCGAAGGCGGGUCUCUGGGCCUUACCUGACGCUGAGGAGCGAAAGCGUGGGGAGCGAACAGG
rnacentral:rRNA from 1 species